UGAAACUGCUUAGAGGUUAAACCCGAUGAACCUAAAUAUCCAGUAUGAGAAAGUCAUUAUUAUGAGUUUAGGCAUAUUAUUUUAUAAUGUAUUAAAAAAGGACAUUGUAAUCUGUUAAUACAAAUUAGUGUGCAUUUUUUUCAUAUUUUAUAUAUUCUUUUAUAUAGUCAUGUAUAAGUUUACAUAUAAAUUAUUUUUAUCAUAAAGAUUAAUUAACCGUUUAUUAAUUACUAGAUAAAUAGUUAACAGUAUUAAAAUAUAUAAAUUGAUGUAAGAUCGAUGAAUUUUGUUACUUACAUAAUUUUUUAUGUUUUAUAUAUAAUAUGUUGCAUUUAUAUACAUGUACGAUAUAUAUGUUUUUAAAUUUUAAAGUAACAAUGCUCGUAA
rnacentral:rRNA from 1 species